CCUACGGGUCGCACCAGUGGGGAAUAUUGCACAAUGGGCGCAAGCCUGAUGCAGCCAUGCCGCGUGUAUGAAGAAGGCCUUAGGGUUGUAAAGUACUUUCAGUUGGGAGGAAGGCGUUGAUGCUAAUAUCAUCAACGAUUAACGUUACCAACAGAAGAAGCACCGGCUAACUCCGUGCCAGCAGCCGCGGUAAUACGGAGGGUGCAAGCGUUAAUCGGAAUUACUGGGCGUAAAGCGCACGCAGGCGGUUGAUUAAGUUAGAUGUGAAAUCCCCGGGCUUAACCUGGGAAUGGCAUCUAAGACCGGUCAGCUAGAGUCUUGUAGAGGGGGGUUAGAAUUCCAUGUGUAGCGGUGAAAUGCGUAGAGAUGUGGAGGAAUACCGGUAGCGAAGGCGGCCCCCUAGACAAAGACUGACGCUCAGGUGCGAAAGCGUGGGGAGCAAACAGGAUUAGAUACCCCAGUAGUC
rnacentral:rRNA from 1 species